ACUGAUGAGGGUGAUUACAACAUCAAAUUACGUAAUUUGAUUAAUUUCCUGAAUGAGGGUGAUAAAGUCAAAGUUACUCUAAGAUUUAGAGGUCGGGAAAUGGCACACCAAGAGUUUGGUAUUCGUCUUUUGGAACGAGUAAAAGAUGAUCUUCAGCAACAUGCAGUAGUAGAACAAUUUCCCAGGCUAGAGGGUAGGCAAAUGGUAAUGGUAUUGUCACCUAAAAAGAAAGAAGUAAAAAAAGAAAAAAACUAAAUCGAAGAGAUUAAUAUAAAAGAAUAAGUUUCAACAGCAGUAAUAUUUAUGUGAGCAUGCUCAUCAUUCAAAUGA
rnacentral:misc_RNA from 1 species